rnacentral:rRNA from 1 species
CCCAGACUCCUACGGGAGGCAGCAGUGGGGAAUAUUGCACAAUGGGGGAAACCCUGAUGCAGCGACGCCGCGUGAGUGAAGAAGUAUUUCGGUAUGUAAAGCUCUAUCAGCAGGAAAGAAAAUGACGGUACCCGACUAAGAAGCCCCGGCUAACUACGUGCCAGCAGCCGCGGUAAUACGUAGGGGGCAAGCGUUAUCCGGAUUUACUGGGUGUAAAGGGAGCGUAGACGGUGAAGCAAGUCUGAAGUGAAAGGUGGGGGCUCAACCCCCGGACUGCUUUGGAAACUGUUUGACUGGAGUGCAGGAGAGGUAAGUGGAAUUCCUAGUGUAGCGGUGAAAUGCGUAGAUAUUAGGAGGAACACCAGUGGCGAAGGCGGCUUACUGGACUGUAACUGACGUUGAGGCUCGAAAGCGUGGGGAGCAAACAGGAUUAGAUACCCUCGUACG